GACUCGUUAGCUCAGUUGGUAGAGCAACGCCCUUUUAAGGCGAAGGUCCGGGGUUCGAGCCCCCGACGGGUCACCA
rnacentral:tRNA from 4 species